rnacentral:rRNA from 1 species
UACGUAGGGGGCAAGCGUUGUCCGGAUUCAUUGGGCGUAAAGAGCGUGUAGGCGGCCAGGUAGGUCGGUUGUGAAAACUGGAGGCUCAACCUUCAGAGGUCGACCGAAACCAUCUGGCUAGAGUCCGGGAGAGGAGAGUGGAAUUCCUGGUGUAGCGAUGAAAUGCGCAGAUAUCAGGAAGAACACCCGUGGCGAAAGCGGCUCUCUGGAACGGUACUGACGCUGAGACGCGAAAGCGUGGGGAGCGAACAGG